rnacentral:rRNA from 1 species
CCAGACUCCUACGGGAGGCAGCAGUGGGGGAUAUUGGACAAUGGGGGGAACCCUGAUCCAGCGACGCCGCGUGAGUGAAGAAGUAUCUCGGUAUGUAAAGCUCUAUCAGCAGGGAAGAAAGAAAUGACGGUACCUGAGUAAGAAGCCCCGGCUAACUACGUGCCAGCAGCCGCGGUAAUACGUAGGGGGCAAGCGUUAUCCGGAUUUACUGGGUGUAAAGGGAGCGUAGACGGCAGUGCAAGUCUGAAGUGAAAGCCCCGGGCUUAACCCGGGAACUGCUUUGGAAACUGUACGGCUGGAGUGCUGGAGAGGUAAGCGGAAUUCCUAGUGUAGCGGUGAAAUGCGUAGAUAUUAGGAGGAACACCAGUGGCGAAGGCGGCUUACUGGACAGUAACUGACGUUGAGGCUCGAAAGCGUGGGGAGCAAACAGGAUUAAAUACCCGCGUAAA